rnacentral:rRNA from 1 species
GAUGAACGCUGGCGGCGUGCCUAAUACAUGCCAGUCGAGCGAACGGACGAGAAGCUUGCUUCUCUGAUGUUAGCGGCGGACGGGUGAGUAACACGUGGAUAACCUACCUAUAAGACUGGGAUAACUUCGGGAAACCGGAGCUAAUACCGGAUAAUAUUUUGAACCGCAUGGUUCAAAAGUGAAAGACGGUCUUGCUGUCACUUAUAGAUGGAUCCGCGCUGCAUUAGCUAGUUGGUAAGGUAACGGCUUACCAAGGCAACGAUGCAUAGCCGACCUGAGAGGGUGAUCGGCCACACUGGAACUGAGACACGGUCCAGACUCCUACGGGAGGCAGCAGUAGGGAAUCUUCCGCAAUGGGCGAAAGCCUGACGGAGCAACGCCGCGUGAGUGAUGAAGGUCUUCGGAUCGUAAGACUCUGUUAUUAGGGAAGAACAUAUGUGUAAGUAACUGUGCACAUCUUGACGGUACCUAAUCAGAAAGCCACGGCUAACUACGUG